rnacentral:rRNA from 1 species
GAUGAACGCUGGCGGCGUGCCUAAUACAUGCAAGUCGAGCGAAUGGAUUAAGAGCUUGCUCUUAUGAAGUUAGCGGCGGACGGGUGAGUAACACGUGGGUAACCUGCCCAUAAGACUGGGAUAACUCCGGGAAACCGGGGCUAAUACCGGAUAACAUUUUGAACCGCAUGGUUCGAAAUUGAAAGGCGGCUUCGGCUGUCACUUAUGGAUGGACCCGCGUCGCAUUAGCUAGUUGGUGAGGUAACGGCUCACCAAGGCAACGAUGCGUAGCCGACCUGAGAGGGUGAUCGGCCACACUGGGACUGAGACACGGCCCAGACUCCUACGGGAGGCAGCAGUAGGGAAUCUUCCGCAAUGGCCGAAAGUCUGACGGAGCAACGCCGCGUGAGUGAUGAAGGCUUUCGGGUCGUAAAACUCUGUUGUUAGGGAAGAACGAGUGCUAGUUGAAUAAGCUGGCACCUUGACGGUACCUAACCAGAAAGCCACGGCUAACUACGUGCCAGCAGCCGCCGUAA